CUGACCAGACAAGGGCAUUGUCCCCACUCAGAAAUGCUCCAAAAGAACUAAGGAGAAGGAUUAGAGGAGACAAAAUGUUUUUGCUAAAUUCUUGCACUGAAGCCAGAGUUGCUCAGGAAAUAACAGCUCAGUUUGUUAGCUCUGAUCUCUAAUUCCAUCCCAAAUUCAUAACGUUAUUUUUUUUGUUUGUUUCCAUUGUUCAUUUGUUGUGUGCCUCUUAGGAUGUCCCUUUCCAUCUGGGCCUCAAUGACCUUCCCUGGGAAAUGGGGUACUUGUACUUAACCAUACCCCUGCUUCUAAAGACAAACUGGGAAAAUUAAAUGGAAAUUCUAAAAGAAAGCUUCAUCUUUUAGUUCCUUAGAGAACUAGCAUUACAGUUGAUUACCUAGGUGAUGAUUCAAGCUAUUCAACCCUUGUCAUUCUGAAUGUACUUCUCUUCCAGCUUGCCUUGGAAAGAAAAUCAGCCAGUUAAAGAAAGCAUCAGCUGGAACUCUCUCAGCUCUCAGUGACUGCAGAGUGAACUAUGGCAUUCAGCAUAGAAAAUGUUCUUCCAGUGCUCCAAUAAAUAGCAUUCAGUUUUUAGCCCCAGGGAAUUCAGUGUAGCCCUGGUUACUCCUCACUGCCACAGCCAACACUGCUUCCUUGGGUAGGAGAAAUGAUUUAUGGAGGUGAGCAGCCAUUCCAAACUUUAAUUAAGCACGUAAAGAACCAUCAAUUUUUUAAAGGGCACCAACCCAGAAAGAUGAGAGCUGAACUCCUGUAGAACAUAAUUACCUUUCCAACAUUUUAUCUGAUCUCCUUGUUUUACUUCUCUAAGAUGAGCUGAACAACAGCCAAUCAACCACCCCCACAGAAACCAUGGAAAUGCACAGGCCACCCUUGGACCAUGACAUACAGGGCAUCUGACUGAUAGUCCCACCAAGACUGCCUAUGAUCAUUUUACUCCUGCAGAGAAAGAUGUGCCUAAAAGAGAAGCAGCACCUACCUGGAAGACUCAGGAGACAAAGAGGGAAAGAGUGGGACACAGUGGAUUAUGCUCACCCUGAGGGUUAUCUGAGAAGAUUUCUGAGAACCUGAGAGUCUCAAAUGCCUGAGAGGUGGGAGCUGCAUAGAGAGGAACAGAAAUGAAUCCCCAAGAUUUCCUGGGCUGAGCCUAACAGGAUAUGAGAAGCAGAAACUUCUGGAUUGUGAGAAGAAACAAAGGAAGAAGAGAGAUGCUCUAUAGGAGAAAAAUCACAGACAAUAAGUGGGGAGAGCAAGAAGACAAAGUUUUGUUACUUUAAUUCACCACUCCUAUCCCCAGCCACCAGUGGCCAUCCUGUACUGGAUUCUAAACCCAGGGCCCUAA
rnacentral:lncRNA from 1 species